AAACACCCCUGUCAAGUUUUAAAAUAAAAAAUGAGUAAUUAUGCAGUUAGGGUUUUGGGUUAGAACGAUUCGAAAAUUUGAAUUUCCGGCUGAAUCUGCAUCCCUCACCUUAACUGAAUAAGUACUAUUUUUAUUUAAUUCGAGCGUUGGCGGGGUGUUGUUUUGGGGCGGGGCUUGUUACAAAAGAUCCUGAGAAUAUUACUGUGAACUAGGUAUUAUACUAUGAAUAAAACAAAUCCAACCGCCAUUUGCAUUCUGCAACUUUGAGAUCACGCGUCAGAAACGUGAUCGACUCGUAACGACAACCUGGAGUAAUUAAAGUAAUCAGGUAAAAACAUUUGAUUACCAACAAUCAGAUAGCUUUUUUCGUCAGAUAUUUUUGCGCGCGAAGCCACAAGCGACAUCGCUUUCAGUCAGUCACAAAUGUUCGUGAUAGGAUAAGAUUUGAUUUUGUGUAGGAUGUAUGGAUAGGCUGCCUGUUGGGUUAGGACAGCGAGUUCGAAACAAUAUUCAGAUGAAGAAAUAUUGAUGGUGAAAGAUUCAAAGACACGAACUAACGAACGAGGAAUAUUACAACGUUUUAAAACACUGCUUGAAAGUCGACAGAACAAUUUAUCAUUGCACCAAAAGAAAUUCGUCAAGUGUCAGAUUUUCAUCACUGAGUGAGAUGGAGGCCUAUCAAGUCUGAAGAGCAAGUAUGUAAUCAUAUCAUUUGAAAUCUUUCAAUUUACAUGUCUAUAAAUAAAUAAUAUGUUGUAUUUUUUUUCGGAAAAUCGACAGACAAAUUAUUACUUUUAAUAUUUAGAGUAUAAUCGCGAAAUUAACUAUUCUGUACUACAAAUUAACUGUAGCAAUAUCCGGUGAAUAAUGGCGUAGUCAGUAUAGCGCUGCACGUUCAGGGGCUAACUGUUGUGUUGUCCCAUCUGCUGUUGUUUCGUUUAAUCGUCCAAACCGAAAGGCCAAUUACUAUCUUGUAAUGUCAGUUUAGGUAAAGUUCAUUGGGUCAGCAUAAAUAAAAGGCGUUUCAUCGCAAUAGGGCGUCACGUUGUGAUUACUACAAACAGUGAAUUUUUUUAAAUUGAUACUAUAAGUUAAUCCAGCAGUGUAUAUCUGCAGAGAUACUGAAAGGAUUUGAACUAUGCCUCGUUAAGUGCAAUUCGGUUAAAACACAACCCCAACUUAAUAACCAUGCAAAUAUUAAAACUUAUUGUUUACCUUGUUGUUUAUCAUGGGGUGCCUAUAUACACACUAAUAUGCCUAAUUUCCCUGAAAUCGUAGUCCUGGCCUUUUUUAAUAAUCUGAUGAGCGUUUUUGCCACAAAUGAUAAUGGUAAUCAGACUAAUGUCUUAAAUUUAACUGUAGCUCAUCGUGGUAGUAAACGCUCUGGUAGUAAAUGUGACGUAAUGUGAUUACUCAAAUGAUGAGUAGCGCGACAACUCUUAAUUGUUGCGGUGCAAUGCAUCUCAUCUAUUCGUCUGGCUCACGAGUCGACAUAUAGUUGUGUUAACUUGUAGACGUUGUUUAUGACCGCUGUUUAAGUUGUAUUAUUUAAGUUGUGCCGCUGUUCUCAAUAAAUGUAGUUCAGCUGUAUACGAGUUUCUAUUCUGAGCAGAUAGCAAUUAAGCAACGAAACAUGGUGUAAGAAGUGGGAUUCGAACCCACGCCUCCAUUCGGAGUGUUACGCCAAUCGAGCAAUGCAAGAAAUACAUCACUCUUACUCUCAAUAGCUUUUAUCAUUAUGCUCUUCAUUUGUUUAACGGCGGACUCUGCUUUACCAUUGCUUUGGCUAUAUGUAGGA